rnacentral:rRNA from 1 species
UACGUAGGGUGCAAGCGUUAAUCGGAAUUACUGGGCGUAAAGCGUGCGCAGGCGGUUGUGUAAGUCAGAUGUGAAAUCCCCGGGCUCAACCUGGGAAUUGCGAUGGAGACUGCAAGGCUUGAAUCUGGCAGAGGGGGGUAGAAUUCCACGUGUAGCAGUGAAAUGCGUAGAGAUGUGGAGGAACACCGAUGGCGAAGGCAGCCCCCUGGGUCAAGAUUGACGCUCAUGCACGAAAGCGUGGGGAGCAAACAGG